GGCGCUUUGACGGAGUGGUUAACGUGGUGCCCUGCUAUGGUUCGCCAUAACUAUAGAGAGGCAUUUCCUUCGGGAGCGUGUGUUCGAAUCACACAGGCGUCG